UUACCUGGGCUCAAAUGUAUGUUGACGUAUUCUGAAAGGGAUACUUCUUCGGACAAUAUACAAGGUGCUGCAUGGUUGUCGUCAGCUCGUGCCGUGAGGUGUCGGGUUAAGUCCCAUAACGAGCGCAACCCCUAUCAUUAGUUGCCAUCAGGUCAAGCUGGGGACUCUAAUGAAACUGCCUACGCAAGUAGUGAGGAAGGUGGGGAUGACGUCAAAUCAGCACGGCCCUUACGUCCAGGGCUACACACGUGCUACAAUGGCCGAUACAGAGGGCAGCUACCUGGUGACAGGAUGCAAAUCUCCAAAGUCGGUCUCAGUUCGGAUCGGAGUCUGCAACCCGACUCCGUGAAGUUGGAUUCGCUAGUAAUCGCGCAUCAGCCAUGGCGCGGUGAAUACGUUCCCGGGCCUU
rnacentral:rRNA from 1 species